UAUGUGAUCGUCUCUCGCAUAUCAAUAAGCGGAGGAAAAGAAACUAACAAGGAUUCCCCUAGUAACGGCGAGUGAAGCGGGAAGAGCUCAAAUUUGAAAUCUUAAAGGGUUUCCCUUUACGAAUUGUAGUUUAAAGAAGUGUUUUCUGUUGAGGUUUGGUAAAAGUUCUUUGGAAUAGGACAUCAUAGAGGGUGAGAAUCCCGUAUUUGACCUUUACUUUCAACUUUGUGAUACACUUUCAAAGAGUCGGAUUGUUUGGGAAUGCAGUCCAAAAUGGGUGGUAAAUUUCAUCUAAAGCUAAAUAUUGGCGAGAGACCGAUAGCGAACAAGUACCGUGAGGGAAAGAUGAAAAGAACUUUGAAAAGAGAGUUAAACAGUACGUGAAAUUGUCAAAAGGGAAGCGUUUGACACCAGUGUUGUUUUUCUGAAAAUCAAUUAAAGAACUGUUUAUGCUAAGUUGUUUAGACUUUAUCAGCUAACUGUUUAGUUUUGAGCUUUUCUUUAAUGCACUUUUCAGUUAACAAGUCAACAUCAAUUUCUUUUGCUGUAAAAAAGCUUGAGGAAGGUGGCUUGAGAUUCGUCUUAAGUGUUUAUAGCCUCUUGCCUAUGCAGUCGGAGAGAUUGAGGUCUGCAGCGUAGAUCCUUCGGGGCUAAAUGCAUUUGUGCUAAGUUAUAGCAUUUUAUAGACAACUUGUUGACUAUGAUUUGUCUUGUAGCUUACUCGCUUAUGUUAUUUUACCUACGCUUAGGAUGUUGAGUAGCGACAUACGCAC
rnacentral:rRNA from 1 species